rnacentral:rRNA from 1 species
GACGAACGCUGGCGGCGUGCUUAACACAUGCAAGUCGAACGGAAAGACCCUGCUUUUGUGGGGUGCUCGAGUGGCGAACGGGUGAGUAGCACGUGAGUAACCUGCCCUUGACUUUGGGAUAACUUCAGGAAACUGGGGCUAAUACCGGAUAGGAGCUCCUGCUGCAUGGUGGGGGUUGGAAAGUUUCGGCGGUUGGGGAUGGACUCGCGGCUUAUCAGCUUGUUGGUGGGGUAGUGGCUUACCAAGGCUUUGACGGGUAGCCGGCCUGAGAGGGUGACCGGCCACAUUGGGACUGAGAUACGGCCCAGACUCCUACGGGAGGCAGCAGUGGGGAAUAUUGCACAAUGGGCGGAAGCCUGAUGCAGCAACGCCGCGUGCGGGAUGACGGCCUUCGGGUUGUAAACCGCUUUCGCCUGUGACGAAGCGUGAGUGACGGUAAUGGGUAAAGAAGCACCGGCUAACUACGUG